GGAGGGGUGGCAGAGCGGCUAAUUGCACCGGUCUUGAAAACCGGCGGGUCUUUACCCACGUGGGUUCGAAUCCCACCCCCUCCGCCA
rnacentral:tRNA from 1 species